ACCUCUGGGCAGAUUCUCCAUGUUCUUCUUUUAUGUGUAGCUGCUCACCUUAAACAGAUACAGUACAUUGAAGUAAUGUUUAAAACAAAUUAAGCCCUAUAAUAUUGUUUAUGUUUACAAUAAUUGGUAAAAAGUUUGACGGAUAAAAUGGUUCUUACCAUUCUCUAUAUAAGCCCCUCUGUUAACUUUUGUUCAAGCCUGUCUAGAUCUUUUAUCAGUCUAGAAAGAUGUUGGAGAAAAAACAUCAUCCUCUUCUAUAAUCUCCAUCUGUAAUUGGACUAACAACUGGACCAGUGAAUGCAGGCAACUUACUCUCCAUUCGACCUUGCAGGUCACACCAUGGUCUCAAGAGGGAAAAUGAGUGCUCUAUGGAUUGAACAGAAAAGGUGAAUCAAAACUCCAACCAUCUGUAUGAGGGUCUGGAUGGAUAAAGGAUGCCCACUGGAGCUGGAAAUGAUGGAUCAGGUGGAUCCACACUUGAACCAUCUGUAUGAUGAUCUGCACCCACUGGAUCUGUAAAUGGUGGUGCAGAGACCAAGUGUAGUAGGGUACACUACUAUGCAGGUGACAUUCUUUUGUUUAUUGAAGCUAUGACAAAUAAUUUGUCUGUUUAGUUAAUGUUUUAUACAGUGUAACUGUACCUAAACAUUGUUCCUUGAGGUCCUCUGCUAUUUACAUUUUGUAUGUCUUCCUUAUUUAACACACCUUAUUCAAAUCAUCAGCUCAUUAGUAGAGAUCUUCAUGAACUGAACUGAGGCUGUGUCCAAAUGUUCACACUUGUUGUCUUUGCACUAGACUACUUACAUUACGUUUUUUUUUUUUUGUAUUUGGCCUAAGUAUUCUAGUGGGCGUGAAGAUCCCAAGCGUGCAUGUAGAAUUAUUCAUCCGAUGGGACACACUUAGCAUGGGUAAAAAUUUCAAUCCAGGUAGUGCCAGCAAUUUGCACCAAAACGUAUUUGUGUUUUAUUUACUACUUUUAAUUUAUAUUUAACAUUUUUAAGUUUUUCUGUAAAUAAAAUGAACACUCUGAAAUGAACAUUUGCUUAUAUCAAACUUUUAGAUGCAGAAUUCUUUGCUCCUGUAAAAAAGCUCUUUGUUUUGAGUAUGUAGCUUUAUUAAAGUGUAUUAUUUAUUCAGUAGUCCCUAAAUAAACGACACAAUGUUGCAGAUGUUUCACAAAAUGCAUAACAAUAAUGCAGUGAACACCAUAGAAAUGUUAACAUACAAUUAAAAGUCUCAUGCUUUACAUCCAGAACAUGAUGCACGAUAGGAUGCACAAAGUGAUAUUUGGACGCAGCCUCAGUCUGUCAAAUCAAAGAGACAUACAGAAUGCACAGAGCAGUGGGACUCCAUGAACAGAGUUGAGAACCACUGCUGUAACUCAUUAUGCUUACCUG